GGCAGCAGUGGGGAAUAUCGCGCAAUGGGGGAACCCUGACGCAGCAACGCCGCGUGAAGGAUGAAGGUUUUCGGAUUGUAAACUUCUUUGAUGAGGGACGAAACAAAUGACGGUACCUCAAAAACAAGCCACGGCUAACUACGUGCCAGCAGCCGCGGUAAUACGUAGGUGGCGAGCGUUGUCCGGAAUUACUGGGUGUAAAGGGCGUGUAGGCGGGGGAGCAAGUCAGAUGUGAAAUACCGAGGCUUAACUUCGGGGGUGCAUCUGAAACUGUUUUUCUUGAGUAUCGGAGAGGAAAGUGGAAUUCCUAGUGUAGCGGUGAAAUGCGUAGAUAUUAGGAGGAACACCAGUGGCGAAGGCGACUUUCUGGACGAUAACUGACGCUGAGGCGCGAAAGCGUGGGGAGCACCCAAAAGGAGAUACCCUGGUAGUCCACGCCGUAAACGAUGGAUACUAGGUGUAGGAGGUAUCGACCCCUUCUGUGCCGCAGUAAACACAAUAAGUAUCCCACCUGGGGAGUACGGCCGCAAGGCUGAAACUCAAAGGGAUUGACGGGGACCCGCACAAGCAGUGGAGUAUGUGGUUUAAUUCGAAGCAACGCGAAGAACCUUACCAGGGCUUGACAUGCAGGUGAAUAUGCUAGAGAUAGUAUAGUCCUUCGGGACACCUGUGCAGGUGGUGCAUGGUUGUCGUCAGCUCGUGUCGUGAGAUGUUGGGUUAAGUCCCGCAACGAGCGCAACCCCUGUUGCUAGUUGCCAUCAUUAAGUUGGGCACUCUAGCGAGACUGCCGGUGACAAAUCGGAGGAAGGUGGGGAGGACGUCAAAUCAUCAUGCCCCUUAUGUCCUGGGCUACACACGUACUACAAUGGCUAUAACAGCAGGGAGCUAAGGAGUAAUCUGGAGCGAAUCCUCAAAAAUAGUCCCAGUUCGAAUUGUGGGCUGAAACCCGCCCACAUGAAGUCGGAAUUGCUAGUAAUGGCAGGUCAGCAUACUGCC
rnacentral:rRNA from 1 species